rnacentral:rRNA from 1 species
ACGUAGGUGGCAAGCGUUGUCCGGAAUUAUUGGGCGUAAAGCGCGCGCAGGCGGUCCUUUAAGUCUGAUGUGAAAGCCCACGGCUCAACCGUGGAGGGUCAUUGGAAACUGGGGGACUUGAGUGCAGAAGAGGAAAGUGGAAUUCCACGUGUAGCGGUGAAAUGCGUAGAGAUGUGGAGGAACACCAGUGGCGAAGGCGACACGCUGGGCCGUACCUGACACUGAGGCGCGAUAGCAUGGGGAGCAAACAGGA